GUUUUCUUCUUUUGAUUAUCUGUUUGAUGAAUUUCUAACUAUAGAAAAACAAGGUUAGGCCGUCUUCAUCGAUGGAAUGACGGAUGCAGCGACACAUAAUCUAUGUUGUAUGAUCGGUGCAAUUGUUUGUGGGUCAUUUAGUAAUCAGUUAAAAUCAUUGACACUUAUUUUGAAUUUAAGGGAGUAAUUCCAUCUUUUU
rnacentral:lncRNA from 1 species